UCAUGACCAUCUCUUCAUUCUCUUCCAAACCAUGCCUCUCAAUCCUCCAUUCAUCCUUGAUUUUGGUGAGAUCAAAAUAGAGGCAGUGAGAUGUCUUCAAUGAUUUUCCGGCAACUCGGGCGAGCUUCUUUGGUCACUCUCUGCAUCGAUUUGGACCUCCGACGAGCUUCUCAGUCCAAGCUAGUCCUCCCAAACUCAUGUGUUGAUCUUGGACGAGAAUGUAGAAUUUCUGGGCAGUAGCAUGCUUCCGAGAAGCCUUUGAAGGAGGUGUAGCUCUGCCGACUUCAUUGAUUUCAGUUCGUUGAGGUAGCAAGCGAACCUUUCAAUUUCUUGUUCGCGUUUUGGUGUUUGUGUUGUUGAUGAAGCUAAGUUUGUAAUGCUUGUCGAGUUAGAAGAGAUCGGAGGUGAUUUUGUGGUCGGAUUUAUGAUCGGAGAGAUAAGGAU